AGUCCAAUAGUUUAGCGGUUAUGACGUAUCCUUCACAUUGGAUUGUCCGGAUAAGACCCCGGUUCGAUUCCGGGUUGGACUA